GCAUGAUGGUGGCCCACUAUCUGGGGCCAUAUUAAGUUUCGCUGGGGGAAGCUGUGGGGCCAAUCGCAGAGCAGCUUACUGGAAUACGCUAGGUUGACUUCGAUGCGGGAGCCAAGCGCUUGAGCUGUCACUGAAGUGACUGAAAGUGGAAUGCAGUAGCGCUCUGGGCCUGGGACAUCGUGGUUGAUAACUGUGCCAUCUGCAGGAACCACAUUAUGGAUCUUUGCAUUGAAUGUCAGGCCAACCAGGCGUCAGCUACUUCCGAAGAGUGUACGGUUGCAUGGGGAGUCUGUAACCAUGCUUUUCAUUUCCACUGCAUCUCUCGAUGGCUCAAAACGAGGCAGGUGUGUCCGCUGGACAACAGAGAGUGGGAAUUCCAAAAGUAUGGGCAUUAAGAAAGACUCUCCCGUAAAACGUACCCAUUUGUUCCUUGUUUAGUGACUUCCUGUUAAUUAUAGAUUAGAUAGAACCAUGGUUCCUUUUCUUUCUUUUCUCUUUGGAGUUUGGUGUUCCUGCAGCCAUAUUGUAUUUUGUGUCAAAUAAAGCCUUUAAGUUGGAGGUGA